AGCGAACGCUGGCGGCAGGCCUAACACAUGCAAGUCGAACGAAGCCUUCGGGCUUAGUGGCGGACGGGUGAGUAACACGUGGGAACGUACCUUUUGGUUCGGAAUAACGCAGAGAAAUUUGCGCUAAUACCGAAUGAGCCCUUCGGGGGAAAGAUUUAUCGCCGAAAGAUCGGCCCGCGUUGGAUUAGGUAGUUGGUGUGGUAAAGGCGCACCAAGGCUACGAUCCAUAGCUGGUCUGAGAGGAUGAACAGCCAUACUGGGACUGAGACACGGCCCAGACUCCUACGGGAGGCAGCAGUGGGGAAUCUUGCGCAAUGGGCGAAAGCCUGACGCAGCCAUGCCGCGUGAAUGAUGAAGGUCUUAGGAUUGUAAAAUUCUUUUACCAGGGACGAUAAUGACGGUACCUGGAGAAAAAGCCCCGGCUAACUUCGUGCCAGCCGCCGCAGUAAGAC
rnacentral:rRNA from 1 species